CAGAGCAUGAACGGGGGAGGGUCAGAGAGAGGGAGACACAGAAUCUGAAACAGGCUCCAGGCUCUGAGCUGUCAGCACAGAGCCCGACGCGGGGCUCGAACUCACGGACUGCCAGAUCGUGACCUGAGCUGGUCGGAGGCUUAACCGACUGAGCCACCCAGGCACCCCAUAGCUUCAGAUGUUUUUGAUAGCAAGAUGUUUUAACACACUGAGUUCGUAUUCCAGUUCAAAGUGAAGAGGAUGAUAUUUUAACUAAAACAUGUUAAACCAUGUAGUCUCAUCUUAGAUGAAUAUGAGCUGAUUAGUAAAAAUAUCUCAAGGACCUAGGUGUUCGGAGUCCCUGGGCAAGGACACAUGUCUGCAAAGUCAUUUUUACAACUAAAGCUCUAUGAUGCUGUGGUUGAAGAUUCUCGGCUGCUAUGUAAGGCCAAGCUAAGGAUAUAUAGUGUAAUUUCAGGGACAUCGGAGGGUAUUUAUACCCUUUCCCAAAUCCCAUCAAUUGGAUGACGCCUGUAAUUUAGCUAUAACUUCAGAAGCAGGAUCACAAUUAAUGCAAGAAUAAUAGAAGAAACAAUAUUUUAAUCGACUAUUCAGUUAACAUUUAUUGUAGGUCAACUAUAUGCAGCCAUUUGCAUAUAUUAUAAAUGAAAUAUUUAAGCUGGGGCAGAAAAACGUGAGGGAAAAAAUCUUUGAGCUGUGUUUGCCUGAGUGCUAAAGGGCAAUGAAGAAAAACUCAAAAUGAGUUGAGGAUGGCACAUGGAGCCAAUUUUCUUUGAAGUGACCAAGGUUCAAAACCUAGGGAUCAAGUAAUCAAGGACUGAAGAGUACAAAUUUGUACUUGGGACUGAUUUUGUCAAAAUGGUCUCUUUCUAAUCUGUGCGUAUAGGACAUUGUAAGAGGGACCCUCAUCUGCUUUUUGAAACAUGACAUGCCACUUUAACAUAGCAGGCCACAUAAGUUAGAGCAGAGUUCCUCUCAUCCCGUUGAUGAGGCAGGGCACCAGGACCAACGCCAGCCAUCUGCUGUCCUUCAGAACCCCAAAAGGUCCUGGAGCUAAUGCAGCUCUGUAGCACUGGAAGUAUGAAUGAACAAAAAAGGAGGUGACCCCUAAUUCUUGUCUCUGCACACAGUAGGAGCUAUGGAUAGAAUGGUGGAACAAAGAGUCUACUCCUGACUCUCACUGGUGGCAAAGACAGCUCUUCUUAUGACAGGUGCUCUCUUAGGUGCCUAUUAUGGGAGGAAGAGGUGAGGCUCAAACCCCAACUCCUGUGUGGAGGAGGCAUUAUAGGGGCUGGUGCCCCUUACACGAUGACGGAUCAUGAGUUAAAAGCUCAGUCAAAAUAUGUUCUUGAAACAGCCCAAAUAUGUAGUUUCCCUGCAUUUGAGAGAAAAAGCUUCUGUACAUAUAUCUAUCUACCCAUGCCUUUUGCAAGGUUCUCAAGGACAGGUUUGUGUUUGGGGAGGUUUUGUUUUGUUUUCUUUUCAUCAUAAACUGUCUUUUAUUCCUUUUUUUUUCUUAUACUUUUGAGUGCUUUAUUUCCAAGCAUACAGAAAACAUUUCAAAGCACUGUGUACCGAGUUAAAUAUGAGUGUCUGCCUUUCACCACUUUCUCUUGCUUUCGCCAUGUCCUAGGAGAAACACACUUGCAUCAGCAUAUGAUUAGCCCAAUGUGAAGCACCCCAGUAAGCUAUGUGCAAAGGACAGAGGAGGAAAGGAUUAUUAACUCUACCAGAGGGGGCCAGGAGUCAGGAGAUAUGUCAGAGGAGGUGUUCGCUGAAAAGAGGCUGAGCAAAAGUUUGCAAGGAAGAUGAGGAGAGGUGGCAAAGGUAGAGCAUCAAGAUGCAUGGGGUAUUUUUAGAACUUCUAAUAAUCUGGUGUCUUCCCCCUAUACACUGCUUAUAGUGAUACUUCUGAAGGUAAAUGCUAUAAAAGAGGUGGAGAUCUGGUUAGGGAAGACUUUGUAUACAGUGCUGUCUAAUUGUAUUAUCCAAAUGAUAAAGUAAAUAAAGUAGGACUGGUGUGGGCUGAAUUGUGUCCCUCUCAAAUUCUAUGUUGAAGCCCUAAUCCCCAGUACCUCGGGAUAUGACUGUAAUUAGAGACAGGGCCUUUAAAGAGGUGAAUAAAUGAAAAUGAGGCUGUUAGGGUGGGUGCUGAUCCCAGACUGCAAAGGAUCCCAGAUUCCUUUUCCUUGUAAGAAAAGGAAGUUAUGGGACACCUGGGUGGCUCAGUCGGUUAAACAUCUGACUUCGGCUUGGGUCAUGAUGUGGCAGUUCCUGAGUUUGAGCCCCGAGUCAGGUUCUGUGCUGACAGCUGAGAGCCUGGAGCCUGCUUCAGAUUGUGUGUCUCCCUCUCUCUCUACCCCUCCCCCACUUGUGCUCUGUCUCUGUCCCUCUCUCUCUCUCUCAAAAACAAAUAAACAAAAAAAAAUUUUUUAAAGGAAGUUAUGACACACAGGGAGACACCAGGAAUGUGUGCGCCCCAAAGAAAAGACCUUGUGAAGACACUAGGAGAUACCAGGAAUAUGUGUGCCCAAAGGAAAAGAAGGCAACUGUCUCCAAGUCCAGAAGAGAGGCCCCAGAAGAAACCAGACCUUUGUCCUAGACUUGUAUCCCCCAGAGCUUUCUGUGGGGUCACCCAGUCUGUGUGUGACUGUCAUUCUAUUACAGCCCUAGAAAAUUAAUACAAGCACCUUUAUCUGCAGAAGCCUUUUCAAAGAGAGGAUUGGUAUGUUCAAAUAGGGCCUUUAGAAGUCUAAGUAUGUUGAUAGUGUGAUCCUUUAAUUAUCUUAAUAAUCUGAGGUUGUCUUGUUUAACAGUCUCUUUUUUGGACCAUCAUAAAAGAUAACUUAUUUUGUUACUUUGACCAAGAAAUCUAGGGGUCUAGAGAGUGAAACCCAGCAUACUCAAACCAGUUAGUGCCACAUUUAUUCAGUAGACCAUGCAAUAUUCCCAAAGGGGGAGAGAUGUGAUUUUCCUCUGGCAAGAGGAAUAAAACUAUCAAAUCUGUAAUAAAUAGAAAUCCUUUUACCUUUCACACAUUUUCAUAAUUUCCCCUGCUGCUUCAGCUAAUUAAUUAUCAAUGCUAUUUGUGUUUAGACAAGGGGGUUUGUCUCCUUCACAGCCCAUCUGCUUCUUGGUAACCUUGCUGUGAAGUCAUUGCAAAGCAGAGUUGCUGAUAAAGCUAUCAUCUCCAUGGCAACCCGCUGCUAUGUCACAAACACAGGAGUGUGACCUCACUGAAGUUAAAAGGAGAAAUCAAACUGGUGUCUGUUGUGUGAAGCGAUAAGAGUUUUUAAUCAGACACACAGUUUACUUAUUUAUUUUUCAGAAAUACAGGAGAGAAGGAUCCUUCUAGAGGAAUGUUACUGCAAUAACCUUGCUGCUAAUUACUCAGUAUGAAAUGAAGAUUUUUAUGUUAGGAACACAAUAUAAAUGUAUAGCUGCUUAUACUUAUACUUAUUGGGUGACAUGUCCUAUGAAAAUAUGCUGUGAUUCAGAGAGGUCUUUUCUGGGCAGAUUCCUCCUUUCUUCACUUGGCUUUGCAUUUAUUUCUAUUUAUUGUCUUAAUAAUGGCAACAACUAGCGUAUACUACUUACAACUUGUCAGAUCCAGCAACCCAUGAGAUAGGGACCAUUGACUCAAUUCUAUACAUGAUGGAACGGAGGCUUAGCAAGGUGGGGGACUUGUUGAAGGGCACUCACACACAGGCAGAGUGGUGGAGGUAGGUGUGGAGCCCUGAACUAUGCCUACUAAGCCGGGCUCUUCCCCACUGUGCUGGAUACCUGGCUAUGUAUCAUUUACCCCUCAACAUAGGCUUUGCUGUAGAUUCUUUUUGCUGGAAAGAGUUUACAGAAUGAGAAUUUAGUUCCAUAAAAUCUUACCAGUUGUUAGACAGUGAUGAAAUUUUAGUAAUAAAAGAAUUACAGGAUAUCAGAAUUGAUUUUUUCUAAUUCAGUUUUAUAGAGGAGAAAACUUAGUUACUUAGAGGAGUUUUUACCCAAAGCAACUCAAGGAUUAUCUGCUGCUACUUUGAUCACUUAGAGUUAACAGUUACAAGCUAUUCUUGCAAAAGUCUGUAUCCAUCCCACUUUCUCUAGCAUGUGGAAAUGACUGUGGUAGUGCCCUGGAGGUGGCUACCUGGCUGUGCAUCAGAAUGUCUCCGGACAGGUCACCCCAAAUGCCCAAACAAGGGUGCUUGUUCUGCUCAGACAUCUGUAAGAUAAAACCUCAGUUCUAACCAGAUAACCUCUUGAAAUCCCUUCCUGUUUAGACAUCCUGCAGCCUGCAAUAGGAACAACAAGAUAAACAAACAAAAGCCAGAAACAGAAAAGUAUAGAUUUUGUUUUAAAUGCCAGUUUUGUGAUUCCAUUUUACUUCCUUGACAGGAUAAUUUAGGACAAGUCAGAAUUCCUUAAAAAAAUCAGCUUGAAGUUUUUCCUGAGGGAAAAGUAGUACUUCAUCUGUUUUAUUAACUGGGAUUAACUAAGUAGAAAUUAAAUUAGUAAGAGUCUAAUUCAGUGAUUUCUCUUUUGUUUACCCCAAUGGCUCUAAACAGGUUAGUUUCUUUCACAUCCAACUAAUGACACCUUUAUUUAUCCUGCAAUCAUCCUAUGACUGUUUGGUUAUACAUCUCCUAGCAAAGAUGACAUUCCUUGUGUGAUACUUACCAAGUUGAGAAAGAAAGCAACUUCUCCCUUGCUUAUUGCAUCCAUUUGUAGCACAGCCCAUAUACUGAGAGGGAAUUAUGACAUGUAGCCACAGAGUGUAUCUCCUAAGAGAAAGAGCUAGUGAGAAGGUGAAUUCUGAAAUCGACCCACAGGAACUGUUACCAUAAGUUCUGAUCAGCCUGUUAUUUUCUUCCUUGGAUGGCUGGUUAACUAGUUACUCAGUUGUAUAACGCAGGCAGUAAAUAUCGUAACCUGGAAGUGUUGCAUCUCUCCAGCUGUCAAAGAGCUAAAGCAACAACAUCCAUUGAGCAUUUGUUGUGUGUGCACGUACUAGAAACUGGUAAGAAAAAACUAAGAGAAGAGUGUAUGUGGCAAGGACCCUGUAAUUCCUUAUAAUAUAUGGGAGGUUGGCAGGUCCCAACAGAAGCCUAAUAGCUAAAGGGACACAGAGUCAAAGAUUAUGGCAAUUGUCAUGCUUUGGUGUGUUUAGAAGUGCUAGGUGUGGUAAUAAAAGAUAUCAGACAAACGGUGUAUUAGGUAGUAAUUUUUAAACACAUGAUUAGAAAGAGCAAAUACAAAAAUAGCAUAUUCUGAGCGUUAGUAUGUGCCAGGCACCACACUGAGAAUCGUACAUUCUUACUGUCAUUUAAUCCCUUCAACAAACCUGGGACAUAGGCUUAGAGCUAACCCAUGAGAGAGAGAAUUGAGGUUUGAGGGGUUAAGUGACUUGUGCAGGUCAGUAGGGAAUAAAUUGGUGAAUUUCAGAACCUGUGUAUUUCAGAACCUGCAAAUUUAUGACAAAUUUAUGUCUCCUGGAAAGAUCCAAUAGGGAAAUGGCAAAGAUACAACACAGAGAUGAGAAUAAGUAUCCUGUAAGAGAUGCUUCAAAUUCCCUUUAUUCCAUUCCCCUCAUUUGGAUUGACCUAGGCAUAGCAGGAUAGACUGACCCAUACAACUUUACUGUGAUUGCUUCAGAUUCAUUUUUUUUUUCUCUUGUAACACUAGAGAAAGACAUGCCAGCACAGGUUGCUUGAAAGUACUCUCCCUUUUGGAAUCUUUCACCUUGAACACACUUGCCUUUUAGGAAUUAACUGAGUUGAAUAGAAAAACUCAGCAGGAUUACUAUAUUGAUAGAAUUGAUAGAUUUUAUUUUUUACCUACAUACCUGGGUACUUAAAACUGCAAGUAGUUUGUAAGCUGCUGUUUAAAUAUCUUUGCCAUUAUAUAGCAUCUAUAAAUCUAUAACAUUCAUAUGUUUUCUGAUAUUAGUAAUUCACUCAGUCUACUUGUUUAUACCGUUGUGUUCUCAUUUAUCCCUGGUAACACUAGAGAAGGAAAGACAAAAAAAAUGGACAGUUAAGAGACUUCAACUAGCUGCCCUUGUAGCUGAAUAAGUUAGAUUUGGAAAGAUGGGAGUAGAAAUUACCGGUUAGCCUUAAAGUUUAGAUUAUAAAUUGGAAGCAACUGGAGUCUCCCAGACAUAACUUAUCAAGGAUGUUGUAUAAGCUAAAAAAAAAAAAAAGUGCUGUUGAGCUUUUCUUUAACUAUAUAAACUCAUAAAUAAUUUAUAUUUCUAAAAGAAAAAAGGAGAAAUAGGAUUGAACUAUGCACAGUAUUAUGUAAUUUGGUAUUUUUCACAUAACACUACAGCUCAGACAUAAAGUAUACAUUAUAAAUAAAUUUAUUUCAUUCAUUUUAAUCACAGCAUAGUGAUUUACUGACUUUAUAUUUAUGGAUUUAGAUUGUUUCUAGGUUUUGUUUUGUUGGUAUGGUUUGUGCUGUUUUGUUUUGCUGCUACAAAUAAUGUUACAGUGGACCUCUUUAUACAUAUAUUUUGCCAAAUUGGUGAAUAUCUCUGUAGAAUAAAUAUCUAGAAUUCCAAUUGUCAGGUCAAAGGAUAGGUAGAUUUACAUUUUUAUAGAUAGUGCCGAAAGCUAUACAAAGUGCAUCAAUUUAAACCUUCAGCAGUGCAUAUCUAGUGUUUCAAUAUAAUUUUCUUGUGUAUUAGGUAAUAUCAGUGUUUUAAAUUUUUACCAUUUUGAUGUAUAAAUAAAGCAUUUAGGUUAAAUUUCUUUAUGGGGUGCCUGAGUGGCUCAAUUGGUUAAACGUCCUACUUCAGCUCAGGUCAUGAUCUCACGGUUCGUGAAUUCAAGCCCCGGUCAGACUCUGUGCUGACAGCUCAGAGCCUGGAGUCUGCUUUGGACUCUGUGUCUCCCUCCAUCUGCCCCUCUGCCACUUGCACUCUGUCUCUCGCAUUGUCUCAAAUAAACAUUUUUUUUUUUUUAAUUUCUUUAGUUAUGACUGAGUUUGAACAUUUUCUUAUGUUAAUUGAGCAUUGGUGUUUUUUGUCUUCCUGUACAUUUUUUGUUUUUUGUCAUUUUCUCAUUUCCUAUCAAAUUGUUUUAAGAUUUUAUUUAUAUAAUUGUUUAAUGUAAAAAGUGUUAGUUCUAGAAUAUCAUAUAGGUUAGAUAUAGUUUUCUCAGUUAUCAUUUGUGUUUUAACUUGGUUUAUGAUAAUUUGGGGAGUGGGUAGGAGUUUGAAAUUUUACAUAAAUUUAUCAAUUUUUUAAUGAUUUUUUUUUUUUUAGUUUUAAUUCUCUACCUCUGAAAUUUAAGAGGAAAAAAAAGUCACAUAUUUUCCUUUUGUCCCUAUGUAAUACCAUUCUUCUUCUCUUUAUAUGUUUAUUAAACCUUCUAUUUGGGAUUUAUUUUCAUGUGAGAUAUAAGAAGGUGAUCUAAACUUUUUUUUUUUUUUUUAGUCACUAGCCAGUUGUCCCAACAACAUUGCUAUAUAAUUUACCUUUUGUUCACCUUUAUCAUGUAAUAAAUUCCCUUAAGCAUUUAUCUCUGUGUAUGAUUUCUCUUUGCAUUGAUCUUCUGAUAAUCCAGUACAAAGUAAUUUAAAUAUUAUAGUUUAAUAUAUUUGAAAUUAUCUUGGUACUUGGAUUGAGAUUAUGCUAAUUUCAUAGAUUAAUUUAGUGGGAAAUGCUAUCAUUUCAACGUUGAAUCUUUACGUAAGCCUAAAUUAUGUAUUUCCAUUUAUUCACUUUUAAUUCUGUGGGGAAACUACACAGAGUAUCUUUAAUAUAUUCCUUUCCUAUUUUCUCCAUAACCUCUGUAAGUGCUUAGAGAAAACUAUGUUGUUCACCUAGUGUCUAAUAUGUUUUGCUUUUCAUUACUCAUUCCAUUUUCCUGAUAUCAUUAUUUAUUUUCUCAUUUAACCUUGGAAAUUUCAAAAUUCUGCCACAGUGAAUUAAUUCUUCCUAAUCCUGGAGACUAGCCUUUUAGCUAUGGAAGGUGAAUGACAUAGUAUUUGAAUAAUGACUAAUGUGAUAAACAGUGUAGAGCGGCUGCCUCUCAUUGCUUUUUACUAGUGUACAAUCAUUACUAGUGCAGGAUUGAGUGAUUUGGAUGAAGUUUACUUAAGGAUCACUGUCAUUAUAUAUUUAUGAAUAACUGCAAACACUAUUUAGGAUAAGCCAUUCCCUGAGAAUUGGCAUGCCACAUCAGGGACUGGAUGAUAGAAUUCCUAGGCCUGUGUUUAUGGCACUAACAAUCUGUUUCAUAAGCCAGCCUGUGCAAGCUAAUGAUCAUAGUCACUAACCAUUCUAUUCUCAUUUUAAUAAAAAUUGCAGAGAGAGGAAAGAAUAAUAAGAGAAAAAAGGUGAUAGAUGUACUGCAUAGGCUAUCUGUAAACAAAUAAAAUCCAUUUAGCCUUGUUUGGAGGAACAACAACAAAAAAAAAUGUUCAAACCUCUAGUAGCAGCAACAAGAUAUUGCCAUUUAUACUCAUAUAGUGCCCUGUAUUCUAUCCCUUUUUUGCAAAAGAGGAAUAAAGGGUAUCCCUGAACAGAGUAAUCAAAUCCUCUGUUUUUGGUGGUGGUGAUGUUGAAUUUUAAGGGAGGGGGAGGUUGCUUUCUGAAGCUAUUCAAAUAGCCUAGUAUUCUUUUCCAUUACCAGAAUGUUUAUUUUGUCAGUAACAAUUAUAGCUACCAUGGAAGGUACUGUGAUUUUGUGGGACACACAGAGAAACAAAAGAUUAACUUACACUAUUGUCCAAAAUAGUGAGCAGGCUAAACAGCAUUCUAAGGGUCAGACAUCAACAGUCUGUCUGCUCCCCCAACCCCAUCUUACUCUUCCUCAGUCUUUGUUCCUAUGCCUGUUCCCUACUAUCAAGGCCAGCAUUAUCAACCUUGACACAUUACAAUACUGUUAUUUAUGAGAAAUUUAUAUUUGGUUAUUGAGAUGACCAAAAUGUAUUUCUUAAUAUAUGUGUUUCUCUCCAAGGUUCCUAGCUCACAGCAAUUAAAACCCUUGGAAUUUCCGGUGGUCAGGGCACUAAAGGUAUUUUGUUAUGUUAAUGAAGGUGUCUUUUGGACCCCACCCAAACUCUAAGGUUGGUUUCCUGGAGGACCAACCAUCUGAUUAAAAGAUCAGAGAGGGGUUGGAGGUUGAAUCAGCCAAUAGCCAAAGAGUUAGUCAAUUAUGACUAAACAAUGAAGCCCCCAUAACACACAAAACUAAUGAGUAUGGAGAGCUUCUGGGUUGGUGAACCUGUGGGUAGAGAUUGGAGAGAGUGGCUUGUCCUUUUCCUGUACCAUAUGUAUCUCUUAAUUUGUUGAUUCAUAUCCUUUAUCAUAUGAUUUAAUAAGCUGGUAAACCCAGAUUUUUUUCCUGAGUUAUAUGAGCUGCUUUAGCAAAUUAAAAGAAUCUAAGAAGGACAUUAUUGGCAUUUUUAAUCUGUAGCCAGUUGGGCAGAAGCACAGGUAACAGCCUGUGGCUUGCAACUAGUGUGUGGGAGAGGGUAGGAAGGGAGGGGUCAUCUUGUAGGACUGAACCCUUAAAUUUUGGAAUCUGAUGCUAUUUUCAGCUAGAUAGUGUCAGAUUUGAAUUGAAUUCUUGGACACCAGAAGGGACACCAGAAGGGUGUUCAAGAAUUACUUGGUGUUGUUGGAGCUGGGUGCCCACACAAUGAAAUUUGGUCUGGGAACCCUUAAAAGAGAGGCUAAUAAGUGGGCUUAGUCAUAGAACAAGGUAAAUGAAAUUCUUUUUGGAUAUUUACUGGGAGUCUGAUCUGUCGUAGAUUUGCAUAUUUCCAUAAACAAAGCCAGAGCUGGUUAAAAGUCUGGUGACUUUUGUUAUCUGAAACAUUGUGAUGUAAUAUCACCUACUAAAUGGUUCUCCUGGUGUUGUCUUAGGAAAAAAAGAUUGGGAAGGCUGAAGAGAUGAGUAUCAAACUAUGUCCCCUCCAGCCUUUUCUUAUUUUACUAAUGUAGGAUCACCACAGUAUCAGGGUGGGAGGAAGGUGGGGUGCCAGGGAUACUGAAUAAGAUGCCCUUACACUACACAAGAAUAGUGACAUUCUAAACCAGAAUGUUUGUGGGCUUUCUGUUGCUCAGGAUGGUAAGGAAUCUUUUUUGAAUGAUUACACUGUGUAGUUGUUGAGAUGCUAGCUAGCAGGAAUGGGAAUCUCACAUGGAGUUUGUAGUUUCUCAGGAAUAAUGAAGAAGCAUGUAUUUAAUUAAAAAUGGGAGAAAAUACAGAACUAUCCAUCAUAAGGACCCUGGAUGAAUUGUAAGAAUAAUUUGGGAGUUGGCAGUCCUCUCUGUUGGACAUAUGGGGCAAAUAUUUGGCAAUCCUAUCUACGGAUAUUCCUUUAGAGAACAUACAACUCUCUUUUCCCUCACCUGGCAAUGCUGUGAGUCUACUUUCUUGGAAUCUUGUAGAACCUAAGACUGUAUAAAAAUGUAUUUCAAUAACAUAAAUAAUGCAGACAUAAACCAGAGAAAAAUAGCUUCUGAUUGUCCCCUAGCACUGUGCCAGCUAAGUCCCAUGGUAUAGUCUUUAAAAUUAGACAUUUAAGGAAAGUUAGGCUUAGCAGCCCAGAGCAGACUCCAGGAUAACAAGAAAGCUAUUACAUCACUUUUUAAUUCUCCACACAGUGUGAUCUUAGACAAACAUACCUCAUCUCUUUCCUUUUUCACAUGUAAGGUGAUUGAUAAGUAAAUCUAAUCACAUUACUAAUAUCCCAUCCAUGAUUUCCUUUCUUCUUAGAAUGAAGGUGGAACUUCUUAAAUGGGCCAAAAGGGUCUUGGAUACUUAUAUAGUCAGGUUUCUACCAAUAUCUCCAAUCUCCUGUCCUACAGGCUCUUUUUUACUUUCUGGUAUCCGGCCACAUUCGCCUUCCUUAGCCUCAUAUACUCGUGUUACUUCCUACCAUCACAAGGCAUUUUCAUGUGACAUGUCCUCUACUUUUCCUUCUUUUGCUCUUUACUCUAAGAUGCCAUUUAGACCUUGGGCUAAGCAUUUUUUUGAAAGACCCUUGAAUGUGGCUGGACAGGUCAAAUAACAUAACAGAUUUUCAGAAUGCCCAAUACUUUUCUGUGGUGGCACUUCUCACUGUUGCAUUUUCACAUUUAUUUGCAUGAUUUGAUCCUUGUCUACUUACCCCUAGACUCUAAACAAAUUUGAGAAGAGCAAAUGUGCCUGUGUUGUUCACUGUUGUGUCCCUAGUGUCUAUGAUGGUUACCGGAAUAAAGUAGGUACCCCCAAAAAUGUGUCAAAUGAAUGUUGACUUUUAACUCAUGUCUUUGUCUCCAUCAAAAACGCGUAGGGUCUUUGGGGAUCCGGUAAAAACUCCUGCAGAAAUGUUUUGCUGCCUUGGCUGCAGAGAUAAUAUAGGAUGUGGGUAUUCUCUGUUGCUUUUAAUGCACACCAGCAGCUGAGCUGAAUGAGAGAUGCUGAAUUCAAGAGUGGUGACUGUAUACAAAAAGAAGCAAUAUAGUGUAAUAAUUUCUAAGAUAACACUUGAAAAUCAUCAAGAAAGGAACAACAAAAUAAACUUUUCAAAGAAUCAUAGAAUGUUAAAUCUGGAAGGAAUGUACAGUAUCAUGUAAGAAUAAUCUUCAUCUUUUAAAAAAUGAGAAAGCAGAAGCCUAGCAGUGGAGAAUUAGGACAAGAAUCAAAAGGUUCCUCACAUGUAAUUCAUACUCUCUUUGUCACACCAUUCUGCUUUUCUAAAAAAAAUGGUCACUCUCUGAGAUACUUAAUCUUUAAAAAAGAAAUUGGGAAAAAAAUUCAGUGGAAUUCAUAUUCUACAAAAAGAUGAUCUGUAGCCCUGUUUUUCUCUUCCAUAGAAAUACAAAAAAUAAUAACAAUAACAAUAUUAUCUCUGAAACAUAUUAUGUGUAGAAUGGCAGUAUGGCAGUCACCCAAAAAAGCUUUUACUGUUUCUAGAAUGUUUGUUUGAAUACAUUAAAACUAUUUUUUUAAUAUAUAAAAGGCAGUUCCUCUCUCUGCGCCCUUUAAAUGAGAGGGGGUGAAUGACAGGGAUGGGAAUUAUAAAUCAGGACCCCAUUCAGAAGCCAACCAAUCACCUGGUCAGGGAUUCCCUGGGCCUUAUGGAAAGUUUCACUUUUGCAGCAAGACAGUUUCAGGAGUCAAUUUCUACCACCGUUUUCAACAUACAUAUCUAAAUCUAGUUCUUGAAGCUAUAGUAAUUUGAUGUCCCAAACUCUAAAGCUCUAUUAUUUCUAUGUUAAAACCAAAAGCUUUAACAUUGAGCUUUAUUAUAGAAUGACAUCCCACCUAGGAUAUCAUAUGUAAACAAUAUAAAAAGAGAGAGAAGAAAAAGUCAAUCACCUAAAUCUUUUAUAAGAAUAAGGCAACAUCUGAUAAAGUGAUUGUAUGGUGAAUAUAAUUUGGAUGUUUUGGGUUAAAUGCCCCCUCCAUACACUUGCAUACAUACAUCUUUGAAAAAAAGACUAGAAGGAAAAACAAUAGCAUGAUUCUUGUGGAAAUUUUUUUGUCUCUGUAUUCUCCAAAUUUAGUUCUUAUUAAUUAUUUUACAAUUAAAAUUACUUUUUUCAAUAUGUCAUUUAACAUGGCAAAGAAACCAGAAUAAAAUCCCCUUCCCAUAUCAAACUUUCCAUUGCAAAUCUACUAAUUGAGUUUUGGAGAUUUUGUUCUUCUCCAAACUCCAAUUCAACCAGGGAAGUUACAGUAAGCUAUUACAGGGAUAGGGCCCAGAGAAAGCAUUCAAAUAGCAAAGCAUGUUUAUCAUAAAUUACUCUUAACCAGAGGUGGAUUUAUUGUCAGACUAAUGAUGCAUAAGCUCCUCAUUUUCAUGAGAUUCUUUCUUCCUAGCCCCUGGAAGGGAUGUUGGUAAUGUUGUAUUCCUAAUAUUGAAUUAAUUUUCUGAAAGAGCCUCUUCCCCCAAUGCAUUAGUGUUCCACAAAAUUUAAUUCUGAUCCUGCUUUUAAUCAAGAGGGGGAAAAGAGUAUAGGAAGCUCAAUCUGGUGCUUUCUUUUGGCCAUUAACUUGAAUUUACGUGAAUGAAUGUCCUCUGUCUCAUACUUUUGACACUUUGAGUCUUGAGUACCCUGUAAAGUCCAUGUCUGACUGUUCUUUUAGGUUAUCUGUGAAGCCCCAACCACACAUGGUCCAUCCAGUGAUGAUUGCUCUGUAAUGAACUUAUUUAUCCCUAGAAAUAUCUGUUUAUUGGACUUCUGCUUAUUCCCCCCCCCGAGUAGUUGAUAUAUUUAUGUCCAUUUUUUUAAAGCAAAAUGUAUGAAUUCUUGCACAUGUUUACCUGCAAAGUUAUGUUCCCCUUCCAUAUCCAUGGCCUCUGGCUUUAGGCAAUGGUCUGCUCCAUUUACCAGUGCUGCCCUCAGGGAUAAUAAAUCUGAGGGCAAUAUCUCAGUAUGGAAGAAAGUUGGUAACCUCUGUACCCUCAUGUUUCAUAAUGGCUUUCCAGAAGACAAAAAAAGAAAAUCAAUUUAUGACUCCUAAUGGGAUGUCCUUUUAUCUUUCUCAUGUCCUCAUGUUCUGUUUCUUUUUUCAAAGCUCAAGAGGGAUAGCAGCAGAUGAGGAGAAGUUCUGUAUUACAUUGAAUCUCUGGCUCUGUCUUAGAUCAACUUCAAAGGCAUAGUAAUUCUGCAAUAAUAGCUCAACAUAAAUGGAUCUAACAUCAAAGCUACCCUCUGAUAAAGGUAUGUAUUAGCUGUUGAACACUUAUUAUGUGUCUCUGGUUCCAUUUCUGUAGAGAUUAUGUAUAUAUUGAGAAUAUAUAUAUGUAUAUAUGUGUGUAUAUAUAUAUAUAUAUGUGUGUGUGUGUGUGUGUGUAUAUAUAUAUAUACCCUCCAUAAUUCCCAUAUAAUUUCCAUUCACACUAAUUUGAAUUUCACACUUAACUCCAUGAGGCAAU